rnacentral:rRNA from 1 species
GACGAACGCUGGCGGCGUGCUUAACACAUGCAAGUCGAGCGGUAAGGCCCUUUCGGGGGUACACGAGCGGCGAACGGGUGAGUAACACGUGGGUGACCUGCCCUCAGCUCUGGGAUAAGCCCGGGAAACUAGGGUCUAAUACCGGAUAUGACUCCAUGACGCAUGCUGUGGGGUGGAAAGCCUUGGUGCGGCUGAGGAUGGGCCCGCGGCCUAUCAGCUUGUUGGUGGGUGAUGGCCUACCAAGGCGACGACGGGUA